rnacentral:lncRNA from 1 species
GGAACCGGAGCAUAGGGCUGCUGGGGGCUGAUCAUGGACGAGGGCGGUGACAUGAUCGGGCACGACUUCCGGGCGCAACCUGCUCCUGAUUUGACCACCAGAAUGGUGGACGCAGUGCCGCAUGAGCCCUCUGUUUUAACUCUAUCCUGCUCCCUCGCAGGAUGAAUGCUGGAGCAGCAACGCCAGAAGCCGCCGGGCUGUUACCUCAAACAGAACAUUAGGGAGUGCAGCGAGAUGCGUGACCAAAAGUAUAGUCUAAGCACGUCCACAGUGAGGGGCCACAGUCGCAAGCCAAUAUUGUGCGCAGCAGGGGAACUGAACUCCGGUCAAUACCGUGGGAGCGUACUAUGAUACCACUACACCAGCCAACACCUGGCAGAUGUCUUCGUCUAAUAGUCAGUAAAUAGAUAAUGCCGCAAUACCUCCGUGUUACCAUGCGCAAAUUUCUCACAGACCCUCAUUGUACAUGUCGCUGCAUGUGUCCACAUCAAAAACAAUUCAACCGCAGUGU